CUAGAAUGGCGGGGUCGUGGUGCUUUAUUGCAGUGCAAUAAAGUUAAACGGGAAACACAAAACGUGUGCUACCCCCGCAACGGUAGGUAAAUGCGUCUUUUUUAGCAGUUUAAGGCGUCAGGAAUCUGACAAAGCCACUGUGCGCGUCAAUCGCAUGGGAAGGCCAGAUUCUGAUAUUUACUAGCUCGGAUACCGGCCAAGACAGGUGGAAUUUU
rnacentral:ncRNA from 2 species